UUAAUUCAUAACAUUUUGUAGGAAUAGCAGGGAUUAUUACUCUGAUUAUGUAUGUUUUUACAGGACGUAAAACACAAAUGGAGGAAGUUGUUCACAAUCGUGAUACAAAUUAAACAAAAACCUUUGCAACACAUCUUUAAAAAACUGAACUCCAUAUUAAGAUGUAAGGCAGACUAACUAGGUAUUGAUCACAGCCUGUAGACUAACUAGGUAUUGAUCACAGCCUGUAGACUAACUAGGUAUUGAUCACAGCCUGUAGACUAACUAGGUAUUGAUCACAGCCUGUAGACUAACUAGGUAUUGAUCAGUCUGUAGACUAACUAGGUAUUGAUCACAGCCUGUAGACUAACUAGGUAUUGAUCAGUCUGCAGACUAAAUAGGUUAUUGAUCACAGCCUGUAGACUAACUAGGUAUUGAUCAGUCUGCAGACUAACUAGGUAUUGAUCACAGCCUGUAGACUAACUAGGUAUUGAUCACAGCCUGUAGACUA
ensembl:lncRNA